rnacentral:rRNA from 1 species
GCAUAAUAAUUUGCUUUUUAAUUGAAGGCUUGUAUGAAUGGAUAAACGAGAAUAAAGCUGUCUCAAUUUUAGUAAUAUAAAUUAAUAUUCAAAUGAAGAAGUUUGAAUGAUAUAAAAAGACAAGAAGACCCUGUUGAGCUUUAUUUAUUAUAAAAUAUAGUAAAAUUAAUUAUUAAUUAUUUUAAAUAUAAAUUUAAUUGGGGUGAUUGAGGAAGAAAAAAAAUCUUCCUAGAUAUUUAAAGAUUUUUAAAUCUUAUUGUGUAUCCAUAAAAAUGAAUAAAUAAUAAGCUACCACAGGGA